rnacentral:pre_miRNA from 1 species
UACUUAAAAUUUCAUUUAUUUGUACUGUAAAAUAUUGGCAUGACUGACGAAAUAAUCAAACAGUGACACGUGAUGGUACCUCAUGCUAAGUAGAGGGAUUGGGUUUUAACAGUAAAAAUGGAUGAAAUUUUUAAUA